rnacentral:lncRNA from 1 species
ACUAAAGCCGGGUCACCAAUGGAGGUGUCGGCAUUAAAAAGAGCCACCGGCUACUACCCGUCACCCAAAACCAGAGGCGACUCCUAUAAAUCCCGAUGCGCAAACUCCUUUUCAAACUGAUUCCCAUGCUCAGUCUCUCUCUGUCUGCUACUCGUCCCCGCUUAAUUCCAAAAAUGGGCCCAUCAAUUCCCGAUGAAUCCCAAAAACAAGUCGACCUCGGCUUGUUAUCCCGAGUAAAAGCCGUUGUCGCUCUGUACUCCACAAAACUGUCCAAAAAAUGCAGAAAAUUAUCAGAAAAUCUCAGAAGCCCACCUACGAGCCCCAUGAGCUGCGACGUGUCCUACCUUCAUAAUGUGUCGUCCCCAAAAAUCGCCCCCAAAUCGCCGUUAUCAUCGCCGAGGGCUCUCUUCACCACGCUGAGCAACAAGACUUUGCCCCUCUUGACUAAGAAGAAGGGAAACGAGGAAAUCGGCGAUCAAAUCCACCAUGAAACGGAAACGGAAACGGAAACGGAAACGGAGGAGGGGUUAUGGCAGAGGAAGAUUUUGAUGGGCGAAAAGUGUGAACCGCCCGAUUUUUCGGGCGUUAUUUACUACGAUCAUAUGGGGAAUCAGUUGUCGCAAUUUCCACCGAAAUCUCCACGCCGCGAAUUUUCGCCCACGUUUUCGUUUCCCGUUUUGGCACAGGAAGGCACCGUUAAGUAAGUGGGCAGUCUGGUUUUCGGGAUUUUAGCAGGAGGUAAAAUACAGGUAGGCUUCUUUUAUUUUUCUUCCUUUUUUUUUCCAUUUUUUUUUUUUUUUAGAGGAGAAUUUGUGGAGGCUGAUUUAUUCGGGGACAGUAUGUAAUAUUUAUAUUGCAAAAGUUCAAGCUUAAAUGGUUUUAUAGAACAAUAAGUUGUAUAUAACUAUGUUUAUAUGUUUUCGUUCUUCUUGGAUAUUGAACGGAACUGAAAGUUGGUGAUGAAAAUAGGGCUUUUUUAGUGAUGAAUCCGAGAAGCUUCGAGGGGAAACCUCAGUUUGGAUAGCUUUCACUUUCUCUUUUGCACUCUGUGUGGC